GCCCACAUGAAGUUGGAGUUGCUAGUAAUCGCGGAUCAGAAUGCCGCGGUGAAUACGUUCCCGGGCCUUGUACACACCGCCCGUCACACCAUGGGAGUUGGGAGCACCCGAAGCCGGUGAGCUGACCGCAAGGAGGCAGCCGUCGAAGGUGAGACCGAUGACUGGGGUGAAGUCGUAACAAGGUAUC
rnacentral:rRNA from 1 species